rnacentral:rRNA from 1 species
AGAGUUUGAUCCUGGCUCAGGAUGAACGCUGGCGGCGUGCCUAACACAUGCAAGUCGAGCGAUUCUCUUCGGAGAAGAGCGGCGGACGGGUGAGUAACGCGUGGGUAACCUGCCCUGUACACACGGAUAACAUACCGAAAGGUAUGCUAAUACGGGAUAACAUAUUUUGAUGGCAUCAUCGAAAUAUCAAAGCUCCGGCGGUACAGGAUGGACCCGCGUCUGAUUAGCUAGUUGGUGAGGUAAUGGCUCACCAAGGCGACGAUCAGUAGCCGACCUGAGAGGGUGAUCGGCCACAUUGGAACUGAGACACGGUCCAAACUCCUACGGGAGGCAGCAGUGGGGAAUAUUGCACAAUGGGCGAAAGCCUGAUGCAGCAACGCCGCGUGAGCGAUGAAGGCCUUCGGGUCGUAAAGCUCUGUCCUCAAGGAAGAUAAUGACGGUACUUGAGGAGGAAGCCCCGGCUAACUACGUGCCAGCAGCCGCGGUAAUACGUAGGGGGCUAGCGUUAUCCGGAAUUACUGGGCGUAAAGGGUGCGUAGGUGGUUUUUUAAGUCAGAAGUGAAAGGCUACGGCUCAACCGUAGUAAGCUUUUGAAACUGAGAAACUUGAGUGCAGGAGAGGAGAGUAGAAUUCCUAGUGUAGCGGUGAAAUGCGUAGAUAUUAGGAGGAAUACCAGUUGCGAAGGCGGCUCUCUGGACUGUAACUGACACUGAGCACGAAAGCGUGGGGAGCAAACAGGAUUAGAUACCCUGGUAGUCCACGCCGUAAACGAUGAGUACUAGGUGUCGGGGGUUACCCCCCUCGGUGCCGCAGCUAACGCAUUAAGUACUCCGCCUGGGAAGUACGCUCGCAAGAGUGAAACUCAAAGGAAUUGACGG